rnacentral:rRNA from 1 species
CAGUAGCCACGGUAAUACGGAGGGAGCCAGCGUUGUUCGGAAUUACUGGGCGUAAAGCGCACGUAGGCGGAUAUUUAAGUCAGGGAUGAAAUCCCAGAGCUCAACUCUGGAACUGCCUUUGAUACUGGGUAUCUUGAGUAUGGAAGAGGUGAGUGGAAUUCCGAGUGUAGAGGUGAAAUUCGUAGAUAUUCGGAGGAACACCAGUGGCGAAGGCGGCUCACUGGUCCAUUACUGACGCUAAGGUGCGAAAGCGUGGGGAGCAAACAGGAUUAGAUACCCCCGUAGUCCCUGUCUCUUAUAC